CAAGCCCUGGAAACGGGGUCUAAUACCGGAUAUGACACACGGCCGCAUGGUCUGUGUGUGGAAAGCUCCGGCGGUGCAGGAUGAGCCCGCGGCCUAUCAGCUAGUUGGUGGGGUAAUGGCCUACCAAGGCGACGACGGGUAGCCGGCCUGAGAGGGCGACCGGCCACACUGGGACUGAGACACGGCCCAGACUCCUACGGGAGGCAGCAGUGGGGAAUAUUGCACAAUGGGCGAAAGCCUGAUGCAGCGACGCCGCGUGAGGGAUGACGGCCUUCGGGUUGUAAACCUCUUUCAGCAGGGAAGAAGCGCAAGUGACGGUACCUGCAGAAGAAGCACCGGCUAACUACGUGCCAGCAGCCGCGGUAAUACGUAGGGUGCGAGCGUUGUCCGGAAUUAUUGGGCGUAAAGAGCUCGUAGGCGGCCUGUCACGUCGGAUGUGAAAGCCCGGGGCUUAACCCCGGGUCUGCAUUCGAUACGGGCAGGCUAGAGUUCGGUAGGGGAGAUCGGAAUUCCUGG
rnacentral:rRNA from 1 species